UGGCUCCCGAACAGGGACCUGGAAAUGAGGGACUCCGUGAGGAAGAGGACGCCAAAGGACGGUUGACCGCUAACGAAGACAAAAGGAGUCAAACUCUUCCGAUCACCGCGGGAACCUGCCGCGUCAGAAUCGAAGGUAAGUGACGCGUCCGAAAUGGGACAAGAAUUAAGCCAACAUCAAAUAUAUGUAGGCCAAUUAAAAGAGGCUUUAAAGAUACGAGGAGUAAAGGUUAAAGGUAAUGAUUUGUUUAAAUUUUUUAAUUUUGUAAAAGACACUUGCCCUU
rfam:Macaca mulatta chromosome 13, whole genome shotgun sequence.